GUGGCUGUAGCUCAAAGGUAGAGUACCUGACUGUGGAUCAGGGUGUUGCGGGUUCGAGCCCCGUCAGCCACCCCA
rnacentral:tRNA from 2 species